rnacentral:rRNA from 1 species
GAUGAACGCUGGCGGCGUGCCUAAUACAUGCAAGUCGAGCGAAUGGAUUAAGAGCUUGCUCUUAUGAAGUUAGCGGCGGACGGGUGAGUAGCACGUGGGUAACCUGCCCAUAAGACUGGGAUAACUCCGGGAAACCGGGGCUAAUACCGGAUAACAUUUUGAACCGCAUGGUUCGAACUUGAAAGGCGGCUUCGGCUGUCACUUAUGGAUGGACCCGCGUCGCAUUAGCUAGUUGGUGAGGUAACGGCUCACCAAGGCAACGAUGCGUAGCCGACCUGAGAGGGUGAUCGGCCACACGGGGACUGAGACACGGCCCAGACCCCUACGGGAGUCAGCAGUAGGGAAUCUUCCGCAAUGGACGAAAGUCUGACGGAGCAACGCCGCGUGAGUGAUGAAGGCUUUCGGGUCGUAAAACUCUGUUGUUAGGGAAGAACAAGUGCUGGUUGAAUAAGCUGGCACCUUGACGGUACCUAACCAGAAAGCCACGGCUAACUACGUGCCAGCCGCCGCGGUAA